UCAACCUUCCUAUAGAACCCAGCUUUCUCAAACGGCAUGUGAUUGUUUUGAUCAUUUUCGUUCACUCUCUUCUCAUCCUUUCCCUAGUGUUGCUCGAGUCUCACUCUCACCCAACCUGACGAUCUUUCUUCUUCUUCUUCACCAUUACCGGUUUCUAAGCUCUUUCAAAUUUUCAUCAUAAAAUAGUUCAUCAAGGUUUUAAGAGGCAGUGUGAAUGAUUUCAGUAUGCUGGUGUUGAGCAAUGUUGAGCCAAUUAAUAGCAAAGCCCCCUAGCUAAGGGGACGUUGCAAUCAUGUUAAGCGAGGUUUUAUGUGAAUUGAAGAUCAUUGAUAUAUUAGGAGAGGAUUUGAAGAUAUUUGGAAUUUUGAGGAAAGGAAAAAGUUGAAGAAAUCAAGUUUUGGAAAUUAAGCUUGUCGAGAUUUGCUUGAGAUAUUGCUUGAGAUGUUGCUUAUGGUAUGUCACAUUGCUUAGGCUAUAACAUAGGGCAAAUCGCAAGUCAAACACAACUAAAUUCCGGCAUCUUUAGAAUUUUUAACAUGAAACUUGUCGAGAUUUGCAUGAGAAGUUACUGAAGAUCUCGCUUAGGGUAUGCUAUGGUGCUUAAGAUGUGGUUCAGGUUAAGCUGGAAGUCAAGCAUAGCAAAAAAUUCAUUGCAACAUAAAACCUAACAAGAUUUGCUAAAGAACCUACUCACCAUAUGCCGAUUGGUAGUGCAGCAUCCAGAACUCUGUUUGCAAACUCCUCAGAAAUGUGAAAAUUCAUGCUGAUUUGGAAAUUUUUAUCCAAAGAGAGAACA
rnacentral:misc_RNA from 1 species